rnacentral:rRNA from 1 species
GAUGAACGCUGGCGGCGUGCCUAAUACAUGCAAGUCGAGCGAAUGGAUUGAGAGCUUGCUCUUAUGAAGUUAGCGGCGGACGGGUGAGUAACACGUGGGUAAUCUGCCCAUAAGACUUGGAUAACUCCGGUAAAAAGGGGCUAAUACCGGAUAACAUUUUGAACCGCAUGGUUCGAAAUUGAAAGGAGGCUUCGGCUGGCACUUAUGGAUGGAACCGCGUCUCAUUAGCUAGUUGGUGAGGUAACGGAUCACAAAGGCAACGAUGCGUAGCCGACCUGAGAGGGUGAUCGGCCACACUGGGACUGAGACACGGCCCAGACUCCUACGGGAGGCAGCAGUAGGGAAUCUUCCGCAAUGGACGAAAGUCUGACGGAGCAACGCCGCGUGAGUGAUGAAGGCUUUCGGGUCGUAAAACUCUGUUGUUAGGGAAGAACAAGUGCUAGUUGAAUAAGCUGGCACCUUGACGGUACCUAACCAGAAAGCCACGGCUAACUACGUGCCAGCAGCCGCGGUAA